rnacentral:rRNA from 1 species
GUCCUAGCCCUAACGAUGAUUGCUUGGUGUGAUCGGUACCCAAUCCGAUCGUGCCGAAGCUAACGCGAUAAGCAAUCCGCCUGGGGAGUACGGUCGCAAGGCUGAAACUCAAGGAAUUGACGGGGCCCGGCACAAGCGGUGGAGCAUGUGGUUCAAUUCGACGCAACGCGAAGAACCUUACCUGGGCUCGAAAUGGAGUGGACCGGGUAGAAUAUCCCUUUUCGCAAGAACUGCUCUAUAGGUGCUGCAUGGCUGUCGU